UUAAGUAACUAAGUAACUAAGUCCUUCAAUUUGGCCUUUCAUUCUCUCCUCUUUAAGUCGAAUUGUAUUUCAGCUGUUUUUGAGAAGCAGAGUUAUAUGCUUAUUGGGAGGCAUGAUAUUGAAAAAUUGAUGAGGCUAGACCCCUCAAGUACUUAUUUACCAAAUGUACUUGAUCAAUCUAACAUCCAAAGUAAUUCCUGUGACGCUGAAACAAUUGAUGCUGAAUUAGAACUAAGUGAACAAUUGCUGCGUUUGUGUCCCAUUAAGCAGGAAAACCUAAUUCAUGAUGGAAACAAGCUUAUUUUGUUAGCAUCUCUUAGUGACUCGUUGGAGUAUGGCCCUGUUUCCAUCCUUUUCAAAAAGCUAGCUCUCUAGGCGCAAAGGAUAUCGUAAAGCCACUACUAAAUAAAGAUCAAAGAAAAAUAAUGACUGCAGCACAAGCAUUAUGCCAUCCCUGGAUUAAAAAUUAUAAGGAUGUGAAAGCACCUCUCGAAUUCUAAUGUUCAAGCUCAUGAAGUCAUACAUGCGCUCCUCGUCAACAUUAGUUAGUCAACAUUAGUUAAUUUUUUUAUAUUACACUGAAUGUAAAAGAUGCUUUCAAAUACACCUUCAAAAUUUUCUUUUGGUAUCUUUUGAUUAGAUUUUACUAGAACUGUUCUCCCAAUGAGUUCAUACUCUUCAUCUUAUUAAUAAGUGUACUAUUCUUUUCAGGAUGUUUGAACUUGGGAUUAGUGAGUUGACUGUUGAAUGAGUAAUCUAACUAUCAAAAUGAAUCGUUGUUUUGUUUAGUGUAUCCAAAUGGGUGUCGCUCAACUGUGUUUGUUUCUGAUUUCCAAAAGAGUGAUUUUACUGCUUGAUAUUUUACUGUAUAGUUGAAAAAGUUUAAAACUGAUUUUAUUAAGAUCCUUCAUUUAGCUUUUCUCAAAAAUGCUAAAAUUUGAUUCUUUUAAAUGGCGAUUAUUGUAUAAAAUUUGUACAAAUCUUUAGAAAGAUGGUUUUUAAGCAUAAAAAGCUGAAUCAGAUGCAUCGUUAGUCUGCUGAUGGAAGAGUGUUUGCUUCUUUCUCCAAUUUUGUUUGUCUCUAUUUGUUGAUCAAGUUAUGGAUGCAUGUUUAGUGAUAACAUACUAGCGUGUUAUUUUCUUGCGCACUACGGCAGGCUUUGUCGAAGACGUUAGCUGUUGACGAGCUGUACUAUUUGAUAGAGUAGUUUGCACUAUUAGAACCAAACAAAAAUGGGACCAUUAGCUUAGAAAAUAUCAAAGCGGUUAGUUUUUUCUUCUCUUUCAAUUCUUUUCAUAUACUAUUUUAAAAGGAUCCUGUUUAAAGACUCAAAUUUGACCAGGCAGUCCUUGAUGAAGAAUGCAACCGAUGCUAUGAGGGAGUCUCGCAUUCCUGAUUUUUUGGGAUCGUUUAGAAGGAUGGAUUUGAUGAGUUUUGUGCAGCGACUCUUAGUGUUCAUCAACUUGAAGCGCUCGACCGGUGGGAGCAACAUGCUCGCUGCGCCUAUGAGCUUUUUGAAGAGGAUGGAAACAGGGCCAUCGUCAUCGAGGAAGCUCUCUAGCAUUUUGUGAGAUUACCGAACGAGUUGAAGAAAUAGCUCCUUUUGUUUCAAAUGCAAAACAGAGUUACAUAUUUGGAGGAAUUUAUUUUGUUGCAGCACAUAAAUUUAUUCAGGCUUUGGGGGAUAUGGAUUCUAUUAAUCUUUUUGGAGUUCAGCAGAUAUGUCGAAAUUCCGUUGCAUUGGAACAAGUGCUAGUAGCAAAUCCAUCCAUAAAUAAUGAAGCAGUCCAACAGAGGUUGGACCGAGUCCGCACCUACCAUGAACUAUUAAACAUGCCAUUUGAGGCAAGCAAACUGAACCUAUGGCUUCAUAUUGAUUUUGAUUUUUAGCAGGUCAUCUUAUCUUGCUGUUCCUAUUUCUGUCAUAGGCCUUGCUUUCAUUCAUUACGGAACAUCUACACUUGUUUAGUGCAUCUCAGUAUGCCAAACUUCUUAAGGUUCAGGUCCUUGGAAGGGAUAUUCCUCUUGACGGUCCAGAUCAAAUAUCUGAAUUAUUAUCACUUUAGUGUGUAGUGUAUUCAUUCAUUUGUUGAUAUUCCAUAGUUUGUUUUGAUACGGUGGGCAGCGAGCAGCACGUAGAUUUCUGAAUGUUGUUUCUGAAAACAAUGGUGAUGGAACAACCCCGUUGUAGAUGUCCAGUUUUUGGUGAAGUUAGAACUGGGUGGGCCCCUAUUUUAUAGUUGUUAUUUAUUAUUAUAGUUGAUGUAU